rnacentral:misc_RNA from 1 species
GAAAUGCGAUAAGUAAUGUGAAUUGCAGAAUUCAGUGAAUCAUCGAAUCUUUGAACGCACAUUGCGCCCUUUGGCAUUCCGAAGGGCAUGCCUGUUCGAGCGUCAUUACACCAAUCAAGCCUGGCUUGGUAUUGGGCGACGGGGUCGGUCAAACCACCCCCCGCCCCAAAGACCUCUCCGGCGGGACGGACCGAAUCUCAGCGUUGUGCAAACGUGUCGCUGGCGAGACGGGACGGCCGUGCCGUUAAACCCCAUUUUCUUCAAGGUUGACCUCGGAUCAGGUAGGGAUACCCGCUGAACUUAAGC